rnacentral:rRNA from 1 species
GAUGAACGCUGGCGGCGUGCCUAAUACAUGCAAGCCGAACGAAACUUCUUUAUCACCGAGUGCUUGCACUCACCGAUAAAGAGUUGAGUGGCGAACGGGUGAGUAACACGUGGGCAACCUGCCCAAAAGAGGGGGAUAACACUUGGAAACAGGUGCUAAUACCGCAUAACCAUAGUUACCGCAUGGUAACUAUGUAAAAGGUGGCUAUACUACCGCUUUUGGAUGGGCCCGCGGCGCAUUAGCUAGUUGGUAGGGUAAAGGCUUACCAAGGCAAUGAUGCGUAGCCGAAUUGAGAGGUUGAUCGGCCACAUUGGGACUGAGACACGGCCCAAACUCCUACGGGAGGCAGCAGUAGGGAAUCUUCCACAAUGGGCGAAAGCCUGAUGGAGCAACGCCGCGUGGGUGAAGAAGGUCUUCGGAUCGUAAAACCCUGUUGUUAGAGAAGAAAGUGCGUGAGAGUAACUGUUCACGUUUCGACGGUAUCUAACCAGAAAGCCACUGCUAACUACGUG